GAGAGUUAAACAGUACGUGAAAUUGUUGAAAGGGAAACGAUUGAAGCCAGUCGUACCUGCGGACAAUCAGCUUUUUGAGUGUGAUUAUGUGGAUUGUGAAGAGUUUAAUCACCCUCAUGUUUUACGUAUUCGUGCUCUUGGGUGUACUUGCCCGUGUGGUAGGUUAACAUCAAUUUUGGUCGUCAUAAAAUGAUUGGAGGAAUGUAGCUUUGGUCUCGUAUCGAAGUGUUAUAGACUCUGGUAGAUGUGACGAUUGGGAUUGAGGAUUGCAACGGAUACCCUUCGGGGCUACUCGUCUGAUCUCUGAAGGUUGCUCCGGUGCCGAAAGCGUGCUUACGGUCAUCGAAAGUGAUUUUCAAAAGGUUAGAACGGGUUAAAUUCGUUAAGGAUGUUGACGUAAUGGCUUUAAACGA
rnacentral:rRNA from 1 species